rnacentral:rRNA from 1 species
AUGGCGCGCUCCCGCCGCCCCCGCACGCCGCAGGCCAAGUCCUCGCCGCCCAGAUCGAGGGAGCCGGCCGCGGUCGCUGCGGCUUCCCCGGGCCCAGCGGCCUCCCGCCCCCGCCCCCGCCGCCGGCUGCGCGUGCAGAGCCCCUCUCUGGCCGCGUCCGCGCGCCGCGUGGCGGCCGCCCCGCCCGCCACCCCGCCGCUCCGCUGGCCCGGGGACGCCGUCGCGCGCGUCGCCUCCGUGAGGAAGAUCGCCGCGGCGCUCUGGAGGGUCCACCCGCCGCAGGCGCCGCCGCGGGAGGUGCCCGAGGAACCGCGGCGACGGCCGCAGCCUAACCCGAAGCCUCUGCAUACGCCGGAUCGGUGCAAUUACUACAAAGCUGUCCUGGAAGGCAGGUCAGGAAGAAAGCCUCUUGGCAACGGCAGCAUUCAUGAGGUGGGAGCUUACUCUCCAUCACCUCGAAUCGAAAUGGAGGUGGCAACCAAGUGGGACCGGCGUGGCUUGAACACGUCAAGGGAUGCUGACUGUGAUUCCUUUGAUCAUUAUCCAGUGAGUGCUGAUGCAGAAAUCUCUGCACUAAGAGCAGAGCUUAUGCAGGCUCACAACCGGAUUCAUGAGCUUGAAGCUGAGAGUCGGUCUGCAAAGAAGAAGCUUGAUCACAUGUUAAGGAGCCUUUCUGAGGAAAAGGCUUCCUGGAAGAGCAGGGAGCAUGAUAAGGUUCGAGACAUCUUCGAUGGUGUUAAAGAGAGUCUGAACCGGGAGAGGAAGAACCGACAAAGGGCAGAAAUUAUGAAUUCCAAGUUGGCCACUGAGGUAUCCGAGUUGAAGUUGGUGGCAAAGCGAUACUUGCAAGAUUAUGAAAAGGAGAGGAAGGCCAGGGAGCUUAUGGAGGAGGUGUGUGAUGAAUUAGCAAAGGAGAUUGCCGAAGACAAAGCUGAGGUUGAGGCUCUGAAGAGUGAAUCUAUGAAGAUGAGAGAUGAGCUGGAGGAAGAAAGGAAGAUGCUGCAGAUGGCGGAGGUUUGGCGCGAAGAGAGGGUUCAGAUGAAGCUCGUUGAUGCAAAGCUGACACUAGACAGCAAGUAUUCACAGCUGAGCGACCUUCAGUCUGAGGUUGAGGCUUUCCUCAGUUCCCAUGGAGGCAAUACUGCAGAUAAAGAGAUGGUAAGAGAUGCAGAAAGGCUAAGGGAAGCAAUUUGCUCGAUGAAGUUUCAUGAUAUUAAGGAGUUCUCUUACAAACCGCCACCUGCUUCAGAGGAUAUUUUUGCUGUAUUUGAGGAGCUCAGACAGAGGGAAGACACCGAGGAGAAGGAGAUUGGGCAGUGUAACGGAGAUAUCCCCAUCGGUCAUGCAACAAAUAUCCACACAGUUAGUCCUGAAAAUGACAUCUUCCUGGAAAAACCAUCGAAGAGGUAUCCCCAUCAACCCUGUGCCAGAAACGAAGAGGAAGAUGACAGCGGAUGGGAGACUGUCAGCCAUGUCGAUGAGCACGGCUCGAGCAACUCACCAGGUGGGAGUGAACCAUCAGUGAACGGCUUCUGUGGAGGAGACGGCGCAUCGGUGAGUGGAACGGACUGCGAUGACAAUUCUGAAAACUGCAGGUCCAUUAGCGGUAUCAGCGAAGUAUGUUCGACCACAGCAGAGAAGUACCGGAAGAGAGGGCCUUCUUUCGCCAGACUCUGGAGAUCAUCAAACAACGACAAUGGCCGCAAGAAAACAGGAUCAGAGUUACUGAACGGGAUGCUCUCAAGUGGCAGAAUGUCGAACUCCGCUCUUUCGCCCACUCUGAAGGGCAGCGAGGUGUGCACGGUUUCGCCGAGCGUGGGCGAGUGGAGCCCGGAGCUGGUGAACCCUCACGUGGUCCGCGCGAUGAAAGGUCGCAUCGAAUGGCCCCAGGGCGCGAAGAAGCAGAGCCUGAAGUCAAAGCCUCUGGAUUCGAGAUUCGACGGCCGCAAGGUCCAGCUGCGCCAAGCAUUGAAGCAGAAGAUAUAG